ensembl:lncRNA
GGGGGAGCCUGGAGUGACCAUCGCAGCAGACGGCUCCCUCCUGCUGGGGGCCAGAGGGCCGCAGGGGCCCCGGGGGGCCAAGGUGAGCACCACCACCUAAUCACCAUCACCUCAUCACCACCACCUCAUCACCACCACCUCAUCACCAUCACCUCAUCACCACCACCUCAUCACCACCACCUCAUCACCACCACCUCAUCACCACCACCUCAUCACCACCACCUCACCACCACCUCACCACCACCACCUCAUCACCACCACCACCACCACCUCAUCACCACCACCUCAUCACCACCUCAUCACCACCACCUCAUCACCACCACCUCAUUACCACCACCUCAUCACCACCACCUCAUCACCACCACCUCAUCACCACCUCAUCACCACCACCUCAUCACCACCACCUCAUCACCACCACCUCAUCACCACCACCUCAUCACCACCUCAUCACCACCACCUCAUCACCACCACCACCACCACCUCAUCACCACCACCUCAUCACCACCACCUCAUCACCACCACCUCACCACCACCACCUCAUCACCACCACCUCACCACCACCACCUCAUCACCACCACCUCACCACCACCACCUCAUCACCACCACCUCAUCACCACCACCUCAUCACCACCACCUCACCACCACCACCUCAUCACCACCACCUCAUCACCACCUCACCACCACCACCUCACCACCACCACCUCACCACCACCACCUCACCACCUCAUCACCACCACCUCAUCACCACCACCACCACCACCUCAUCACCACCACCUCAUCACCACCUCAUCACCACCACCUCACCACCACCUCACCACCACCUCAUCACCACCACCUCAUCACCAUCACCUCACCACCACCUCACCACCACCUCAUCACCACCACCUCAUCACCACCACCUCACCACCACCACCUCAUCACCACCACCACCUCACCACCACCUCAUCACCACCACCUCAUCACCACCACCUCACCACCACCACCUCACCACCACCACCUCACCACCUCACCACCACCACCUCACCACCUCACCACCACCACCUCACCACCUCACCACCACCACCUCAUCACCACCACCUCAUCACCACCACCUCAUCACCACCACCUCACCACCACCUCACCACCACCUCAUCACCACCACCUCAUCACCAUCACCUCACCACCACCUCACCACCACCUCAUCACCACCACCUCAUCACCACCACCUCACCACCACCACCUCAUCACCACCACCACCUCACCACCACCUCAUCACCACCACCUCAUCACCACCACCUCACCACCACCACCUCACCACCACCACCUCACCACCUCACCACCACCACCUCACCACCUCACCACCACCACCUCACCACCUCACCACCACCACCUCAUCACCACCACCUCAUCACCACCACCUCAUCACCACCACCUCAUCACCACCACCUCAUCACCACCACCUCAUCACCACCACCUCACCACCACCACCUCACCACCUCACCACCACCACCUCAUCACCACCACCACCUCACCACCACCUCACCACCACCACCUCAUCACCACCACCUCAUCACCACCACCUCACCACCACCUCAUCACCACCACCUCAUCACCACCACCUCAUCACCACCACCUCACCACCACCUAAUCACCAUCACCUCAUCACCACCUCAUCACCACCACCUCAUCACCACCACCUCAUCACCACCACCACCUCACCACCACCUCAUCACC